GAUGAACGCUGGCGGCGUGCCUAAUACAUGCAAGUCGAGCGAACAGACGAUGAGCUUGCUCCUCUGACGUUAGCGGCGGACGGGUGAUUAACACGUUGAUAAGCUACCUAUAAGACUGGGAUAACUUCGGGAAACCGGAGCUAAUACCGUAUAACAUGUUGAACCGCAUUAUUCAACAGUGAAAGACGGUCUGGCGGUCACUCAUACAUGGAUCCUCGCCGCAUUAGCUAGUUGGUAAGGUAACGGCUUACCAAGGCAACGAUGCGUAGCCGACCUGAGAGGGUGAUCGGCCACACUGGAACUGAGACACGGUCCAGACUCCUACGGGAGGCAGCAGUAGGGAAUCUUACGCAAUGGGCGAAAGCCUGACGGAGCAACGCCGAGUGAGUGAAGAAGGUCUUCGGAUCGUAAAACUCUGUUAUUAGGGAAGAACAAAUGUGUAAGUAACUAUGCACGUCUUGACGGUACCUAAUCAGAAAGCAACGGCUAACUACGUG
rnacentral:rRNA from 1 species